ACACGUGUAUUCGAAGGACUCUCGGCAACGGAUAUCUUGGCUCUUGCAUCGAUGAAGAACGUAGCGAAAUGCGAUACUUGGUGUGAAUUGCAGAAUCCCGUGAACCAUCGAGUCUUUGAACGCAAGUUGCGCCCGAAGCCAUUAGGCUGAGGGCAUGCC
rnacentral:rRNA from 1 species